rnacentral:rRNA from 1 species
UACGAAGGGGGCUAGCGUUGUUCGGAAUUACUGGGCGUAAAGCGCGCGUAGGCGGCCCGGUAAGUCCGCUGUGAAAGUCGGGGGCUCAACCCUCGGAUGCCGGUGGAUACUGUCGGGCUUGAGUGCGGAAGAGGCGAGUGGAAUUCCUGGUGUAGCGGUGAAAUGCGCAGAUAUCAGGAGGAACACCAAUUGCGAAGGCAGCUCGCUGGGACGUUACUGACGCUGAUGCGCGAAAGCGUGGGGAGCAAACGGG